rnacentral:tRNA from 1 species
GGAGGGGUCGCAUAGCGGUCUAGUGCGAAGGUCUUGAAAACCUUUGUGGCGCAAGUCACCGUGGGUUCGAAUCCCACCCUCUCCGCCA